GCGUGGGUGGCUCAGUCAGUUGAGCAUCUGAUUUCGGCUCAGGUCAUGAUCUCACGGUUUGUGGGUUCAAGUCCCAUGUCAAGCU
rnacentral:tRNA from 1 species